UACGAAGGGGGCUAGCGUUGCUCGGAAUCACUGGGCGUAAAGCGCACGUAGGCGGAUCUUUAAGUCAGGGGUGAAAUCCCAAGGCUCAACCUUGGAACUGCCUUUGAUACUGGGGAUCUCGAGUCCGGAAGAGGUGAGUGGAACUGCGAGUGUAGAGGUGAAAUUCGUAGAUAUUCGCAAGAACACCAGUGGCGAAGGCGGCUCACUGGUCCGGUACUGACGCUGAGGAGCGAAAGCGUGGGGAGCGAACAGG
rnacentral:rRNA from 1 species